rnacentral:rRNA from 1 species
GAUGAACGCUGGCGGCGUGCCUAAUACAUGCAAGUCGAGCGAACGGACGAGAAGCUUGCUUCUCUGAUGUUAGCGGCGGACGGGUGAGUAACACGUGGAUAACCUACCUAUAAGACUGGGAUAACUUCGGGAAACCGGAGCUAAUACCGGAUAAUAUUUUGAACCGCAUGGUUCAAAAGUGAAAGACGGUCUUGCUGUCACUUAUAGAUGGAUCCGCGCAGCAUUAGCUAGUUGGUAAGGUAACGGCUUACCAAGGCAACGAUGCAUAGCCGACCUGAGAGGGUGAUCGGCCACACUGGAACUGAGACACGGUCCAGACUCCUACGGGAGGCAGCAGUAGGGAAUCUUCCGCAAUGGGCGAAAGCCUGACGGAGCAACGCCGCGUGAGUGAUGAAGGUCUUCGGAUCGUAAAACUCUGUUAUUAGGGAAGAACAUAUGUGUAAGUAACUGUGCACAUCUUGACGGUACCUAAUCAGAAAGCCACGGCUAACUACGUGCCAGCAGCCGCGGUAAUACGUAGGUGGCAAGCGUUAUCCGGAAUUAUUGGGCGUAAAGCGCGCGUAGGCGGUUUUUUAAGUCUGAUGUGAAAGCCCACGGCUCAACCGUGGAGGGUCAUUGGAAACUGGAAAACUUGAGUGCAGAAGAGGAAAGUGGAAUUCCAUGUGUAGCGGUGAAAUGCGCAGAGAUAUGGAGGAACACCAGUGGCGAAGGCGACUUUCUGGUCUGUAACUGACGCUGAUGUGCGAAAGCGUGGGGAUCAAACAGGAUUAGAUACCCUGGUAGUCCACGCCGUAAACGAUGAGUGCUAAGUGUUAGGGGGUUUCCGCCCCUUAGUGCUGCAGCUAACGCAUUAAGCACUCCGCCUGGGGAGUACGACCGCAAGGUUGAAACUCAAAGGAAUUGACGGGGACCCGCACAAGCGGUGGAGCAUGUGGUUUAAUUCGAAGCAACGCGAAGAACCUUACCAAAUCUUGACAUCCUUUGACAACUCUAGAGAUAGAGCUUUCCCCUUCGGGGGACAAAGUGACAGGUGGUGCAUGGUUGUCGUCAGCUCGUGUCGUGAGAUGUUGGGUUAAGUCCCGCAACGAGCGCAACCCUUAAGCUUAGUUGCCAUCAUUAAGUUGGGCACUCUAAGUUGACUGCCGGUGACAAACCGGAGGAAGGUGGGGAUGACGUCAAAUCAUCAUGCCCCUUAUGAUUUGGGCUACACACGUGCUACAAUGGACAAUACAAAGGGCAGCGAAACCGUGAGGUCAAGCAAAUCCCAUAAAUUUGUUCUCAGUUCGGAUUGUAGUCUGCAACUCGACUACAUGAAGCUGGAAUCGCUAGUAAUCGUAGAUCAGCAUGCUACGGUGAAUACGUUCCCGGGUCU